rnacentral:rRNA from 1 species
GUCCACGCCCUAAACGAUGUCAACUAGGUGUUGGGUGGGUAAACCAUUUAGUACCGGAGCUAACGCGUGAAGUUGACCGCCUGGGGAGUACGACCGCAAGGUUAAACUCAAAGGAAUUGACGGGGACCCGCACAAGCGGUGGAUGAUGUGGAUUAAUUCGAUGCAACGCGAAAACCUUACCUACCCUUGACAUGUCCAGAAGCCCGAAGAGAUUUGGGUGUGCCCGAAAGGGAGCUGGAACACAGGUGCUGCAUGGCUGUCGU